UAGGGAAGGUGGAGAGAAGUUUCCAUGUUACAAAGUGUCAAGAACUAAAGCCUUUCCAGGGCUAUAAAUUUCAUCCAUGGAGGUUUUUUUACUCAAAUCUUUAUGCUUGGAAAAUGUUUUACUCUGAGGAAUGCUCUGGAAAGGAAUGCUAUGGAUGACAAUAGAAAGAUAUUUUGGUAGCUUCAGCGAAGGUAGAAGGCAGUCCACUGCAAUUAUUUGGUUUUGAUUAUGGUAGGCGGGUUGCAGGCCUAAUGUUCAAGUAUGGGUGGAGCCAUUGGGGGGCCAGGAUAUCAGGAAGGAAAAGCAUGAAAUGUUGUUGUCUUCAUCAAUAGCUGCCAAUGCUGGAUUGCACAUGCGGCUGGUCCAUGUCCAUUGCCAUAAUAGCUUCCUGAUAAAACACCCCUUGGUUACUAUACUCUAAUCCUUGUUUUAGAGUUAUUUCCCAACCCAAAGAUCUGCCCCACAGGCAUGUGCAUAGAUCCCUGGACAGCUUCCAGGAAGUUUCCUCCAUCAACAUCUGAAAAUGUAGCUUGUUUCAUGCAAAUUAUGGGGGCAUGGAUCAGCACUCAAGCCCCAUAAUAAUUUACAAAAAGACACAAGCUCUUCCUAGAUUUUCCUACUCUCUAAGAUGUCAAUGUCAUAAAUUAAUUUCAUUUUUUUUAUUCCUUUUCAAGAAAGCGGAAUUAUACUUGCACACCCAAAUCAAUGAUGUUGGUUUUCUUGAGACUAACAUUUGAAAUUACUAGAAUAUGAUCCGUGCUUUGCACACGGGUCUCCUUGUACCUCUUUUUGUUUGGACAUUUUUUUCUAAAAUAGAGAAUAGAAUUAUCAGAGAAGUUGUGAUA